AACCUGUACCCCCAAAACAACACGGGGGUGAGAACUAUAUAAAUAUAGUUCCCAGUGGGUACGGCCACCCAAGAGAAGAGCUCGACCCACCAGGUCCAAAGGAGGCAACAGUAGGUUAGUUCAACAAAUAGAUAGAUAGAUAUUUAACGAUGCAACAAAUAGAACCAUACCUUGCCUCGCUGCUAUGCACUAUGCAAUACCUGUAAAUCAUGAAAGUAGCUUACUUGAUUCUACUUUAUAUCAUUAGCCAUUCUUUACUUGUAGCCGUUUUAUUCUUUCUUAGCUAGUUUCAUUCAUUAGCUAUUUUCUUUAUUCUUUUCUUUAUGCUUUAUUCUUUAUUCUUACUGUACUCACUGGCGAUUCUUUCCUAAGGUUACUUUACCUUAGCCAUCUAGCCACUCGACUCGGUCUUGAGUCAAUCAACCGCGGAGUACCGCGUCAAGUCAGGCUCGAGGUGAAGGACGUCUCACAACACCUCAGCCUUAAGUCCACGCGACACUAGGUCCAUCACAGGGAGAGGAGAACCGUCGAUCCCCGUGACCCUAAGUCGCUCAAGCUCAACGGGCGAGGAGAACCGUCAAACCCGUUAGCUCCGGGAGAGGAGAACCGUCAAUCCCGUUGAAUCACUACCGGGAGAGGAGAACCGUCGAUCCCGUAGUUUCGAUUCACUUCACUUGUUUCAUGGCAUACCGGGAGAGGAGAACCGUCGAUCCCGUUGAAUCACUACUGGGAGAGGAGAACCGUCAAUCCCGUAGUUAAGAUUCUAUUUCUGCCAUCAUACCAAUCCUAGGGAUUCCGGAAUCCAUUUUCACAACUUAAGGGUUUACUCUUUUACCCUAUGUCGACGACCUUUCUAGGUCUAUUCUAUUCACUUUCUAGUGGUCCUAUUGCCACUAUGAUACACAACUUAGUUUACUUUUACUAAGUGGUUCUUUACAUCAUAACCUAGGUUCACUUACACUAGGUUUUAUAUACUUUCUCCUAGAUCUCAACUCUAGGUUUACAUACUCGACCUAGGUCCAAUGACACUAGGUUAAUUUCAUGUCCAACCUAUGUUUAAUAACUUAGGUUCAUUUCAUUGCUCAACCUAUGUUUAAUAACUUAGGUUCAUUUCACUCGAUCUAUAUGUAACAUCCUAGUUGUCCAUGCCUAGGAUUACAAUUUAUACGUUUCAUAUUCAACUUACACGACUUUAGUAUGUUCGACAUUCAUAUCUCAUUUAUCAUUCACGUGUUCAUAUACCGACAAUCCUAUGCAUUUAGCAUAAACUACAAUGCAUUCAUAUGCGUCUAGCAUGUUUGUUCGUUAUAUGACAAUUAUCAUGUAUCAUCUAGCAUGAGAUUCACAUUCACAUAUAUAUUUACUCUUAUGCCUUUAGCAUUCACUUUCAUAUAUGUUUAGACAUAUACAUCUAACAUUCAUAUUCAUAGGCCUCUAGCAUUCAUAUGAAGGUUUAAUAACGUAGGUUUCAUAGUUCACAUGUUCUCAUUUCCAUAGUUGUCGGACAUUCUAUAUAACCUUGAGUUAUCGACUCAUAAUCAAUUUAUAUGCAUCUAACUUGAUUAUUGCAUAUUAACUAUCAUAUAGCAUCAAGCAUGUUUAUCACUGAGUCAUUAUGCAUUCUCAAAUAGUAGGUAACAACAACUAAAAUAACAUGAUUUAUGCAUUCAUAUUAUCAAUUACAACCUACCCCGUAUUCAUAAACAUUUAUGUUCAUUAGCCAUUCCGACAAUUACAUUUAUCUAUGCAUCAAAUGAAACCACGAUUUACUUUGGCAUGGAAGUGACCUAAUCACUUCGGUAAAGCACAACCCACCUUU
rnacentral:lncRNA from 1 species